GCUGGGCAUGGUGGCGCAAGCCUGAAAUCCCAGCAGCUUGUGAGGCUGAGGCAGGAGGAUCAUGAGUUAAAAGCCAGCCUCAGCAAUGGUGAGGCGCUGAGCAACUCAGUGAGACCCUGUCUCUA
rnacentral:sRNA from 1 species